rnacentral:rRNA from 1 species
UACCCCAAACCGACACAGGUGGUCAGGUAGAGAAUACCAAGGCGCUUGAGAGAACUCGGGUGAAGGAACUAGGCAAAAUGGUGCCGUAACUUCGGGAGAAGGCACGCUGACACGUAGGUGAAGUGAUUUACUCAUGGAGCUGAAGUCAGUCGAAGAUACCAGCUGGCUGCAACUGUUUAUUAAAAACACAGCACUGUGCAAACACGAAAGUGGACGUAUACGGUGUGACGCCUGCCCGGUGCCGGAAGGUUAAUUGAUGGGGUCAGCGCAAGCGAAGCUCCUGAUCGAAGCCCCGGUAAACGGCGGCCGUAACUAUAACGGUCCUAAGGUAGCGAAAUUCCUUGUCGGGUAAGUUCCGACCUGCACGAAUGGCGUAAUGAUGGCCAGGCUGUCUCCACCCGAGACUCAGUGAAAUUGAACUCGCUGUGAAGAUGCAGUGUACCCGCGGCAAGACGGAAAGACCCCGUGAACCUUUACUAUAGCUUGACACUGAACAUUGAGCCUUGAUGUGUAGGAUAGGUGGGAGGCUUUGAAGUGUGGACGCCAGUCUGCAUGGAGCCGACCUUGAAAUACCACCCUUUAAUGUUUGAUGUUCUAACGUGGACCCGUAAUCCGGGUUGCGGACAGUGUCUGGUGGGUAGUUUGACUGGGGCGGUCUCCUCCUAAAGAGUAACGGAGGAGCACGAAGGUUGGCUAAUCCUGGUCGGACAUCAGGAGGUUAGUGCAAUGGCAUAAGCCAGCUUGACUGCGAGCGUGACGGCGCGAGCAGGUGCGAAAGCAGGUCAUAGUGAUCCGGUGGUUCUGAAUGGAAGGGCCAUCGCUCAACGGAUAAAAGGUACUCCGGGGAUAACAGGCUGAUACCGCCCAAGAGUUCAUAUCGACGGCGGUGUUUGGCACCUCGAUGUCGGCUCAUCACAUCCUGGGGCUGAAGUAGGUCCCAAGGGUAUGGCUGUUCGCCAUUUAAAGUGGUACGCGAGCUGGGUUUAGAACGUCGUGAGACAGUUCGGUCCCUAUCUGCCGUGGGCGCUGGAGAACUGAGGGGGGCUGCUCCUAGUACGAGAGGACCGGAGUGGACGCAUCACUGGUGUUCGGGUUGUCAUGCCAAUGGCACUGCCCGGUAGCUAAAUGCGGAAGAGAUAAGUGCUGAAAGCAUCUAAGCACGAAACUUGCCCCGAGAUGAGUUCUCCCUGAGACUUAGAGUCUCCUGAAGGAACGUUGAAGACGACGACGUUGAUAGGCCGGGUGUGUAAGCGCAGCGAUGCGUUGAGCUAACCGGUACUAAUGAACCGUGAGGCUUAACCUUACA